rnacentral:rRNA from 1 species
UACGGGGGGAGCAAGCGUUGUUCGGAUUUACUGGGCGUAAAGGGCGCGUAGGCGGUCGUGACAAGUCACUUGUGAAAUCUCCGGGCUUAACUCGGAACGGUCAAGUGAUACUGUCGGACUAGAGUACAGAAGGGGCAACUGGAAUUCUCGGUGUAGCGGUGAAAUGCGUAGAUAUCAGGAAGAACACCCGUGGCGAAGGCGGCUCGCUGGGACGGUACUGACGCUGAGGCGCGAAAGCGUGGGGAGCAAACAGG